CCUAAAGGCAGGUUCUUUAUUUGGUUGGCCGUCAACAACCUGCCUGUCCCUUCUGUGACUAGGCGGAGGAAUCCAUCAACCACAUUCUUUUGGCAUUUGUGCUCUCCAGGGAGGUAUGGGUGUGUUUAUUUAGGGAAGCACUCCUCGAGCCGCUUUUCUUCUUGGUGGAGGAAGGCAAUGGUUUCUCUUGAAAAAGGUCUGCGGAAAGGAUUCAAUUGCUUGGUCAUCCUAGUGACGUGCAUGCCAUGCCAAUAAAAGACUCCACAGACGCGUCGGAAGAAGCACGAAGGCAGCAAAAGUACGUGGAAACGAAAAUCAACAGAUGCUUUGGGAGCCUGGGUCGGCGAACUUUUCCGCACUGCAGCAGGCUGAAAUCGAGUGCGAGGGUUUAGGAAGAACAGUUGAGGUGCUGUUGGACGCAAGGUUUUCUUUUUUUCCAAAAAAAAAUGGGAUCGG
rnacentral:lncRNA from 7 species